UACGUAGGGGGCAAGCGUUGUCCGGAUUUAUUGGGCGUAAAGAGCGUGUAGGCGGCUUUACAGGUCCGUUGUGAAAACUCGAGGCUCAACCUCGAGACGCCGGUGGAAACCGUAAAGCUAGAGUCCGGAAGAGGAGAGUGGAAUUCCUGGUGUAGCGGUGAAAUGCGCAGAUAUCAGGAGGAACACCGAUGGCGAAGGCAGCUCGCUGGGACGGUACUGACGCUGAGGCGCGAAAGCGUGGGGAGCAAACAGG
rnacentral:rRNA from 1 species